AACGAACGCUGGCGGCAGGCUUAACACAUGCAAGUCGAGCGCCCCGCAAGGGGAGCGGCAGACGGGUGAGUAACGCGUGGGAACGUACCCUCUGCUACGGAAUAGCUCCGGGAAACUGGAAUUAAUACCGUAUGUGCCCUACGGGGGAAAGAUUUAUCGGCAAAGGAUCGGCCCGCGUUGGAUUAGCUAGUUGGUGGGGUAAUGGCCUACCAAGGCGACGAUCCAUAGCUGGUCUGAGAGGAUGAUCAGCCACAUUGGGACUGAGACACGGCCCAAACUCCUACGGGAGGCAGCAGUGGGGAAUAUUGGACAAUGGGCGCAAGCCUGAUCCAGCCAUGCCGCGUGAGCGAUGAAGGCCUUAGGGUUGUAAAGCUCUUUCACCGGAGAAGAUAAUGACGGUAUCCGGAGAGGAAGCCCCGGCUAACUUCGUGCCAGCCGCCGCUGUAAGAC
rnacentral:rRNA from 1 species